CUGUGUUCCAGUUUCAAGAAGUUAAGACAGAGUUAAGGAAGAUUACUGGAGAUGUGAUAAAGAUACCAGGUUUCUGGUUCCAAAAUGUUCUGGAAGUGACGAGUCUGAUGAGCCAGAGCUUGAUGGUGUUGCAGUGGGCCUCCUUAUUGUCAUCAGUGACCAUGACACAAGUCCAGUUCACUACCACCCUGUGAGAAUCUCUGUUGUUGUUGAGUGGUCAGCCUCCCCGGACUUGGCGAUGCCUUCCUGGUAAUCUUUGGACUGAUCUAUGCACUACACCUCAGCUAUCCCAAAGCACUGACAAACACUUUUGAAUUCACUCAAAAGAUUUUACUUGGUCUAGAUAGUGGUAAACUGUCACUCAGGUUGCAGACACUCAAGAAUGACUUGAUGUAGAAACUCAUCUGAAAGAAGGCUAAAGCAGUAUAAAAGGCUAGUUGAAAGUUAUGUCCCUUUGUCUAAAUAAUGCCUCAAAAAGAUACUGCACUACUUUGCAGGUGUUCAGCCAAUAGGCCCAAACUACACAAUAUGCCUUUGUUCUCAUUAAUAUGAUGCAAAAGUAACGCUAAUGUUUUGUAUGUUUUAAUGUUUUUCUCAACCAUUGUGGCCUGCGCAGGAUGACCCUCAUUUCACUGUGCUUUUGAUACUGGUUAAUGUAUUACAUUUACAUUUUAGAGUUUUAAGUGAAAAUGUUAUUACAGUCUAUAGAAUUUUUAUAAUUUCAUCCAAAUGCCCUGUUGUCUUACUCAGGAAUUAGCCAGGAAGCCAAAAGCACAGUGUUUUUUUCAUUUAUAGCUGUAAUGAAAGAAUUUCAUUUUGGUAUUAUUUGAUAUU